rnacentral:rRNA from 1 species
CUACGGGUGGCUGCAGUGAGGAAUAUUGCACAAUGGGGGAACCCUGAUGCAGCAACGCCGCGUGGAGGAUGACGCAUUUCGGUGUGUAAACUCCUUUUAUAUGUCAAGAAAAUGACGGUAGCAUAUGAAUAAGCACCGGCUAACUCCGUGCCAGCAGCCGCGGUAAUACGGAGGGUGCAAGCGUUACUCGGAAUCACUGGGCGUAAAGGGCGCGUAGGCGGGUUGGAAAGUCAGGUGUGAAAUCCUACAGCUUAACUGUAGAACUGCACUUGAAACUUCUAAUCUAGAGUAUGGGAGGGGGAGAUGGAAUUAGUGGUGUAGGGGUAAAAUCCGUAGAUAUCACUAGGAAUACCUAAAGCGAAGGCGAUCUCCUGGAACAUUACUGACGCUAAGGCGUGAAAGCGUGGGGAGCAAACAGGAUUAGAUACCCCGGUAGUC